rnacentral:lncRNA from 1 species
GGCCCCUCAGCCAGCCCUUUGGCUGCAGCCCUGGGCCCACUCUGCCCGCUGAACUGCCCAGGGCCGAGGACACGAUGGGUGACCAGACGCGUGCAGCGUGUGGCCUCCUGCAUACCCGUGUUUUCAUUGCUUGCCGUGUGAUGGUGUGUUCAGUGUCGUUCCCAAGUAUCAUGGGGUGGCCCCUUAAUAGAGUUGUCAUUUACUUACUUGGAAGUCAGCAUUACAGGGGCCGGCAUUGGGGCAUAGCAGAUGGCGCCGCCGCCUGUGACGCCAGCAUCUUAAAUGGGCACCGGUUCGAGGCCCGGCUGCUCCACUUCUGAUCCGGCUCCCUGCUCGUGGCCUGGGAAAGCAGUGGGCGUCUGCUUUGGCCUGGCCCAGCCCUGGCUGGUGCGGCUUCCCAGGGAGACCACUUGAAGUCAAUCCACCUGCCCUUCCCGGGGGCUGCCCUGGCACCUGCAGCCCCUUGGUGGGCCGGGGUGAACUGGCCCGAAGGUUGGCCGGGGCUGGGUGACGGUGCUGCCAGGCAAGUCGCUGGCCAGGCAGGGAGCCGCGCCGCUCGCCUGGAGAGACGGCAGUGGCCUGGCGGCUGGGUGUUUCCCGACUGAAGCUGCCCGUGGUGGGGGUCCCCCUGGUGCCUGAAGAUGCCCCCUCCAAAAUCAGCACGGGAGACCCUGUCCCUCCGGCGGGCAGGACGGGGAGUGACAGUGGUGUUCUGAACAGCAGGCCACUGCCUUAGACUGAGGCUAGCGGGCCGGGGCUGGGCGGGGGCAGAGCACAGGUGCGUGCAGGUUGGGGUCUGGGCACCAGGAGGGGGUGUGCGCGGAGUGUGGGCUGCAGUGCACCGCGGGGUCCCUGGCCCAGCUGAUCCCUGGGGACACCCAUCCAGCCAUCUUGGGGACGUCCCACCCCAGCCUCCCUGGGGCCGUCUACCCCAGCCUCCCUGGGGAUAACCACCCCAACCUCCCUAGAGCCGUCCACCCCCGCCUCCCUGGGGACGUCCAUCCCGGCCACCCAGCCUCUCUGGGGACACCCACCCCGGCUUCCCUGGGGACGGCCACCCAGCCUCUCUGGGGACACCCACCCCGGCUUCCCUGGGGACAUCCACCCCGGCUUCCCUGGGUCCCCCUGGGAGUUGCCCCACACUGACUUUUCUCACCUGGCCCGAGGGCCAGCCUGCAGCCAAGACUGCUCCGUGCAGCUGGGCGCCCCCGGCGAGGCUGGGCUCUGCUCCCUGCCCGCCCAGUGGUCUGCGGGCAGCCCCGAGCCCACCUGACCUCCCCUGGGUGCAGUUACAGUCUCCAGAGCCGCCAGCCUCAGUGU